AGGAGUUCAUGGGGACAUUUCCCAUUAGGGACAGGUUUGGGACAGUUUGAGGAGUUCAUGGGGACAUUUCCCAUUAGGGACAGGUUUGGGACAGUUUGAGGAGUUCAUGGGGACAUUUCCCAUUAGGGACAGGUUUGCAGGAGUUAAUGAAGCAGAGGAGACCUGGUUCCUGGAGGAACAAGGCAAGAGGAGUUUGUUUCUCCUGGGAGCAGCUUGCACCUGGGAGUAUCCGCAGCCACGGGGGCUGCAGUGCCUGAGUGACUCCUUCAUCAGGUGUUUGCUCCUUUUCCAGCCCUGCUUUCCCAGCUGUGAGGGUGACCUCUCCCAGAGCCUGGCCACACUCAGGUGACUGCAAAGUGCUGCCUGGAAAUGCAGGGGUGGCUGCAGGGCUCCUGUUCCCACGCAGGUGUCCCAGGGCUCCACAUCCGACAAGGAGGCUGAUCAAAGGUACAACAACCUCCAGCAGGGUGAGAGAACCGGGCCGGGAGAGCUCUUUUAUCUCGGGAACACUGUAAAAUAUGUUAAUAAUUGCGAGCAUCCGAGGACAAAAAGAUGGCACUUGAAAGGGAGGUGAGAGAAUGGCGCGGGUUUUAUGGGGGCUGUUUGCAGAGCGAGGAAAUCAAACAAAUCUUUCGUUUGACUCCAGCAUAAGAAAGAGGUGUGAAGCAAUUCUUAAUGAGAUUGAUGCCCAAGGCAAACUGCUUUCUCUAUUUUUUUUCUUUUAACUUAAAUAAAAAAUAAAAUAAGGGAUGAUUUGAAAUCCUGAGGCCAGCUGGUGUGAACGGCCCUAAAGGCUGGAAGGUUUGCCUUGAAGAGGAGCCCGGGCUGGGGGGGCUCUCUGUCAGUUUGGAAUAUCCUAUAGCUCUGGGAUAACCAGGAAUUCUGCCUGGAUGCUCCACAGGGCAUCUCAGAAAACCCCAGAAUUUGGGGCACGACAGAGAAGCAGUUUGAUGCUUUAUUUUUGUUUUCCUGAGAAUAAUUCCCCGUUCUCCUGACAGCACCAAUUUCCUGACACCCUGCGUGGCACCUGAAUCAGUGUUUUAGCCCCCACCCACCCCAAAUCCCUUCCUCAGGUGUGUCCCUCCUGCAGGAGAUGCCUGAGCCUUUAAAUGUGGCCAGUUUAGCAGCUCUGAGCACAGAAUGCACAAGCACUUUAUUCUGCAGGGCUUGCUGCUCAUGAAAAUACCAUUUUUUGGGUGUGCUGGCUGCAGUGCUUAAACAGCACCCAAAUAACCAGGAAUAAUUUUGGGGCAGCGUGGCCAUCUGCCAUCAAGGCCAGCAGGGACAUUUGCUGAUUUUCCAGAGAAAUUCCUCCUUUAGGAGCAGGGAAGUGGCUGCAUCCCCUGAGUUCACCCCACACAGGCAUGCUUGGACUUCAUUUAACCAGCCUCUAAAUGAGCUGCUUAAUUAGCAGGUCCUAAUGAGUGGUGUAAUUCCAAACCAUGGAGCUGGAUGUAUUGAAAAGUACCUGCUUUUAGGUCUGUACUUUUUAUAAGUACCCAUUAAUAGCUAAAAUAUGUCUCUGAAUUGGAAAAAAAUGUGGAACAAUGAAGAGAUCAAGAAAUGGGAAUUGGAAAUUUUUACUUUUUCUUCCUGGAGAAAGAGAUGUUCUUGUGCCCAGACCCCAAAUAAUUGACAGCAUUUUGUCAUGUGGCACUGAGUGAGCACGAGCCCAGCUGGUUUAGAAACACCCCAGUGGUGGAUCCC